rnacentral:rRNA from 1 species
AACGCUGGCGGCAGGCCUAACACAUGCAAGUCGAGCGGUAACAGGUCCUUCGGGAUGCUGACGAGCGGCGGACGGGUGAGUAAUGCAUAGGAAUCUGCCCGGUAGUGGGGGAUAACCUGGGGAAACCCAGGCUAAUACCGCAUACGUCCUACGGGAGAAAGGGGGCUUUGGCUCCCGCUAUUGGAUGAGCCUAUGUCGGAUUAGCUAGUUGGUGAGGUAAUGGCUCACCAAGGCAACGAUCCGUAGCUGGUCUGAGAGGAUGAUCAGCCACAUCGGGACUGAGACACGGCCCGAACUCCUACGGGAGGCAGCAGUGGGGAAUAUUGGACAAUGGGCGCAAGCCUGAUCCAGCCAUGCCGCGUGUGUGAAGAAGGCCCUCGGGUUGUAAAGCACUUUCAGCGAGGAAGAACGCCUAGUGGUUAAUACCCAUUAGGAAAGACAUCACUCGCAGAAGAAGCACCGGCUAACUCCGUGCCAGCAGCCGCGGUAAUACGGAGGGUGCAAGCGUUAAUCGGAAUUACUGGGCGUAAAGCGCGCGUAGGUGGCUUGAUAAGCCGGUUGUGAAAGCCCCGGGCUCAACCUGGGAACGGCAUCCGGAACUGUCAAGCUAGAGUGCAGGAGAGGAAGGUAGAAUUCCCGGUGUAGCGGUG